rnacentral:rRNA from 1 species
AUUGAACGCUGGCGGCAUGCCUUAUACAUGCAAGUCGAACGGCAGCACGGGUGCUUGCACCUGGUGGCGAGUGGCGAACGGGUGAGUAAUACAUCGGAACAUGUCCUGUAGUGGGGGAUAGCCCGGCGAAAGCCGGAUUAAUACCGCAUACGAUCUACGGAUGAAAGCGGGGGACCUUCGGGCCUCGCGCUAUAGGGUUGGCCGAUGGCUGAUUAGCUAGUUGGUGGGGUAAAGGCCUACCAAGGCGACGAUCAGUAGCUGGUCUGAGAGGACGACCAGCAACACUGGGACGGAGACACGGCCAAGCCCCUGAGGGGAGGCACAGGUGGGGAUUUUUGGAAAAGGGGCGAAAGCCUGAUCCACAAAUGCCGGGUGUGUGAAGAAGCCCUUGGGGUUUAAAAGCAUUUUGGUCGGAAAAGAAACCCUGGCCCCUAAUAGGGUCGGGGGAGGCGGGUCCGGAAAGAAAAAGCCCGGCCAAACUACGGG